rnacentral:rRNA from 1 species
UGGAUCCAGACUUUGAUCUGGCUCAGGAUGAACGCUGGCGGCGUGCCUAACACAUGCAAGUCGAGCGAGAAGCUCUUGAACGAUUCUUCGGAAAAGUGAUAGAGUGGAAAGCGGCGGACGGGUGAGUAACGCGUAGGCAACCUGCCCUUUGCACAGGGAUAGCCAUUGGAAACGAUGAUUAAAACCUGAUAACACCAUUUUAUCACAUGGAAAGAUGGUCAAAGAUUUAUCGGCAAAGGAUGGGCCUGCGUCUGAUUAGCUAGUUGGUGAGGUAACGGCUCACCAAGGCGACGAUCAGUAGCCGACCUGAGAGGGUGAUCGGCCACAUUGGAACUGAGACACGGUCCAAACUCCUACGGGAGGCAGCAGUGGGGAAUAUUGCACAAUGGGCGAAAGCCUGAUGCAGCAACGCCGCGUGAAGGAAGAAGGCCUUCGGGUCGUAAACUUCUGUCCUUGGGGAAGAAGAACUGACGGUACCCAAGGAGGAAGCCCCGGCUAACUACGUGCCAGCAGCCGCGGUAAUACGUAGGGGGCAAGCGUUAUCCGGAAUUAUUGGGCGUAAAGAGUACGUAGGUGGCAACCUAAGCGCAGGGUUUAAGGCAAUGGCUUAACCAUUGUUCGCCCUGCGAACUGGGAUGCUUGAGUGCAGGAGAGGAAAGCGGAAUUCCUAGUGUAGCGGUGAAAUGCGUAGAUAUUAGGAGGAACACCAGUGGCGAAGGCGGCUUUCUGGACUGUAACUGACACUGAGGUACGAAAGCGUGGGGAGCAAACAGGAUUAGAUACCCUGGUAGUCCACGCCGUAAACGAUGAGCACUAGGUGUCGGGGUCGCAGGACUUCGGUGCCGUAGUUAACGCAUUAAGUGCUCCGCCUGGGGAGUACGCACGCAAGUGUGCAACUCAAAUGAAUUGACGGA